rnacentral:rRNA from 1 species
AUUGAACGCUGGCGGCAUGCUUUACACAUGCAAGUCGAACGGUAACAGGCCUUCGGGUGCUGACGAGUGGCGAACGGGUGCGUAAUGCAUCGGAACGUGCCCAGAGGUGGGGGAUAACGCAGCGAAAGCUGUGCUAAUACCGCAUGUGAUCUGAGGAUGAAAGCGGGGGACCAAGCAGCAAUGUUUGGCCUCGCGCCUCUGGAUCGGCCGAUGUCAGAUUAGGUAGUUGGUGGGGUAAAGGCCUACCAAGCCGACGAUCUGUAGCUGGUCUGAGAGGACGACCAGCCACACUGGGACUGAGACACGGCCCAGACUCCUACGGGAGGCAGCAGUGGGGAAUUUUGGACAAUGGGCGCAAGCCUGAUCCAGCAAUGCCGCGUGCGGGAAGAAGGCCUUCGGGUUGUAAACCGCUUUUGUACGGAACGAAAAGGCUCUGGCUAAUACCUGGGGCUGAUGACGGUACCGUAAGAAUAAGCACCGGCUAACUACGUG